rnacentral:lncRNA from 1 species
AUCAACUGGACGAUCAGCUUCAUCGAGGAGAACAACGCUGGAAACGCCGCGGCAGCCUAGGUUACUGUGCUCUCCAUUCCCUGGACAUCGGAAGCGAUGAGGUUGUCACAGUUGCUAAUUGAUAAGGCUUUUUUUCCCUAUAUAAUUGAUUAGUUUUGAUAGUAUCUGACCUUCCUUUUGAUAAUAUUUCUUGCUUACUUGGUGAAGUUUAUUGUAAUGGUUAAGACUGCAAAUUCAUAAGGAGUGGACCAUUUUUGACAAAUUAGGAGUAAAUUAGGAUGGUCUUUUUUGCUGUAAGGAAUAUCAUCAGACUACUGCAAUUAUUGAUAAAUCAUAUGACAGCUUUCUAGUCUAGGGUGUUGUAAAUUGGGCUAAUCGAUAUCUCAGUGGUGGUGGAGUUGGGAAAGGACAGGGAAUCUUUAUGAAAAAAUUACUCCUAAUAAGCACCAAUUCAGGGCAGGGGAUAGCAAGAACCAGCUAAGAUGUUGAUGAUCCUUUUAAGUUUUAAGUGUUUACAAGUCUACCACAUAGGACAAGUUUGCAAGUGCUGUAUUAUGGUCGUGUUGCAGUGCUGUAUCAUGAAAAAUGAAAUGCAACUAAUAGUUAAUUUAGGCAUGCACUCAAACAGCCCAACUAUAUGUAAUCUUGUAUAUGAUCUGUCCAUCUAAGCAAUGGAUAUAGCUCUCCUGUGUAGGGAGCAUUUUCAUUAACUACACAUCUCUUGUUAUAUAAAUGUUAGUAUGUAUGUUUUCAUCAUUCAGUAAAACAUUCUUGCAGACCCGAGUGUUGAGUUUAUUGGUUUCCUUAUAUAUCUUGAUAGGUAUUCUACUAAAAACAUUAUUUAGUGAAUCAUUUAUUUGUACUAAUAAAAUUAUACUAUAAAGUAUUUUUUUUUACAAGC